UUCUGACCGUAAACGAUGCCAACUAGCGAUCCGCCGGUGGAUUUUUAGCCCUGGUGGGUAGCUUCCCGGAAACGAAAGUCUUCCGGUUCCGGGGGAAGUAUGGUUGCAAAGCUGAAACUUAAAGGAAUUGACGGAAGGGCACCACCAGGAGUGGAGCCUGCGGCUUAAUUUGACUCAACACGGGGAAACUCACCCGGCCCGGACACCGUAAGGAUUGACAGAUUGAUAGCUCUUUCAUGAUUCGGUGGUUGGUGGUGCAUGGCCGUUCUUAGUUCGUGGAUCGAUUUGUCUGGUUUAUUCCGAUAACGAGCGAGACUCUAGCCUACUAAAUAGUAACGUGAUUAUCAAUGUCGCGUUUGCUUCUUAGAGGGAUUUUCGGUGUUUAGCCGCACGAGAUUGAGCAAUAACAGGUCUGUGAUGCCCUUAGAUGUCCGGGGCUGCACGCGCGCUACACUGGCGAAAUCAGCGUGCUGUAUCCAUUCUCGAAAGGGAUUGGUAAACCCAUGAAAAUUUGCCGUGCUUGGGAUCGGAAAUUGCAAUUAUUUUCCGUGAACGAGGAAUUCCAAGUAAGUGCGAGUCAUCAACUCGCUCUG
rnacentral:rRNA from 1 species